UACGAAGCGUGCGAACGUUGUUCGGAAUCACUGGGCUUAAAGGGCGCGUAGGCGGCUUGCCAAGUCGGGGGUGAAAUACUUCAGCUUAACUGGAGAAGUGCCUUCGAUACUGGCAGGCUUGAGGGAGGUAGGGGUCUGCGGAACUUCUGGUGGAGCGGUGAAAUGCGUUGAUAUCAGAAGGAACGCCGGUGGCGAAAGCGGCGGACUGGACCGCUUCUGACGCUGAGGCGCGAAAGCUAGGGGAGCAAACAGG
rnacentral:rRNA from 1 species